rnacentral:rRNA from 1 species
CCUACGCGAGGCAGCAGUGGGGGAUAUUGCACAAUGGGGGAAACCCUGAUGCAGCAACGCCGCGUGUGGGCAGAAGGUUUUCGGAUUGUAAACCACUGUUCUUGGUGAAGAUAAUGACGGUAACCAAGGAGAAAGCUCCGGCUAACUACGUGCCAGCAGCCGCGGUAAUACGUAGGGAGCAAGCGUUGUCCGGAUUUACUGGGUGUAAAGGGUGCGUCGGCGGUCUUGCAAGUCAGACGUGAAAACCACAGGCUCAACCUGUGGACUGCGUUUGAAACUGUGGGGCUUGAGUGAAGUAGAGGUAGGCGGAAUUCCCGGUGUAGCGGUGAAAUGCGUAGAGGUCGGGAGGAAAACCAGUGGCGAAGGCAGCUUACCAAACUACGACUGACGUUGAGGCACGAAAGCGUGGGGAGCAAACAGGAUUAGAUACCCCGAGUAGUC